AGGAUGAACGCUGGCGGCGUGCUUAACACAUGCAAGUCGAACGAACCUUCGGGUUAGUGGCGGACGGGUGAGUAACGCGUGGGAAUCUGCCCUCAGGAGGGGGAUAACGGUUGGAAACGGCCGCUAAUACCCCAUAUGCCGAGAGGUGAAAUGAAUUUCGCCUGAGGAUGAGCCCGCGUCUGAUUAGCUAGUUGGUGAGGUAAGAGCUCACCAAGGCAUCGAUCAGUAGCUGGUCUGAGAGGAUGAUCAGCCACACUGGGACUGAGACACGGCCCAGACUCCUACGGGAGGCAGCAGUGGGGAAUUUUCCGCAAUGGGCGAAAGCCUGACGGAGCAACGCCGCGUGAGGGAUGAAGGCCUCUGGGCUGUAAACCUCUUUUAUCAAGGAAGAAGAUCUGACGGUACUUGAUGAAUAAGCCACGGCUAAUUCCGUGCCAGCAGCCGCGGUAAUACGGGAGUGGCAAGCGUUAUCCGGAAUUAUUGGGCGUAAAGCGUCCGCAGGCGGCCCUUCAAGUCUGCUGUUAAAAAGUGGAGCUUAACUCCAUCAUGGCAGUGGAAACUGUUGGGCUUGAGUGUGGUAGGGGCAGAGGGAAUUCCCGGUGUAGCGGUGAAAUGCGUAGAUAUCGGGAAGAACACCAGUGGCGAAGGCGCUCUGCUGGGCCAUCACUGACGCUCAUGGACGAAAGCCAGGGGAGCGAAAGGGAUUAGAUACCCCUGUAGUCCUGGCCGUAAACGAUGAACACUAGGUGUCGGGGGAAUCGACCCCUCCGGUGUCGUAGCCAACGCGUUAAGUGUUCCGCCUGGGGAGUACGCACGCAAGUGUGAAACUCAAAGGAAUUGACGGGGGCCCGCACAAGCGGUGGAGUAUGUGGUUUAAUUCGAUGCAACGCGAAGAACCUUACCAGGGUUUGACAUCCUGCGAAUCUCUUGGAAACUUGAGAGUGCCUUCGGGAGCGCAGUGACAGGUGGUGCAUGGCUGUCGUCAGCUCGUGUCGUGAGAUGUUGGGUUAAGUCCCGCAACGAGCGCAACCCACGUCUUUAGUUGCCAGCAUUUAGUUGGGCACUCUAGAGAGACCGCCGGUGAUAAACCGGAGGAAGGUGUGGAUGACGUCAAGUCAUCAUGCCCCUUACAUCCUGGGCUACACACGUACUACAAUGCUACGGACAAAGGGCAGCAAGUUCGCGAGGACAAGCAAAUCCCAUAAACCGUGGCUCAGUUCAGAUCGUAGGCUGCAACUCGCCUACGUGAAGGAGGAAUCGCUAGUAAUCGCAGGUCAGCAUACUGCGGUGAAUACGUUCCCGGGCCUUGUACACACCGCCCGUCACACCAUGGAAGUUGGCCACGCCCGAAGCCGUUACUCCAACCCUUGUGGAGGAGGACGUCGAAGGUGGGGCUGAUGACUGGGGUGAAGUCGUAACAAGGUAGCCGUACCGGAAGG
rnacentral:rRNA from 1 species